UACGAAGGGGGCUAGCGUUGUUCGGAAUUACUGGGCGUAAAGCGCACGUAGGCGGAUACUUAAGUCAGGGGUGAAAUCCCGGGGCUCAACCCCGGAACUGCCUUUGAUACUGGGUAUCUCGAGUCCGGAAGAGGUGAGUGGAAUUCCGAGUGUAGAGGUGAAAUUCGUAGAUAUUAGGAAGAACACCAGUGGCGAAGGCGGCCCACUGGAUCGGUACUGACGCUGAGGUGCGAAAGCGUGGGGAGCAAACAGG
rnacentral:rRNA from 1 species